rnacentral:sRNA from 1 species
GCCAGGCGCGGUGGUGCAUGCCUGUAAUCCUAGCAGCUGGGGAGGCAAAGGCAGGAGGAUCACAAGUUCAAAGCUAGCCUCAGCAAAAAGUGAAGUGUUAAGCAACUCAGUGAGAUUCAGUCUCUA